GGAUGUGAGGGCGAUCUGGCUGCGACAUCUGUCACCCCAUUGAUCGCCAGGGUUGAUUCGGCUGAUCUGGCUGGCUAGGCGGGUGUCCCCUUCCUCCCUCACCGCUCCAUGUGCGUCCCUCCCGAAGCUGCGCGCUCGGUCGAAGAGGACGACCUUCCCCGAUAGAGGCGGUACCGUUCUUCGGUCAAGGGUAUACGAGUAGCUGCGCUCCCCUGCUAGAACAAGCUCCCAAGGUCCAUUUGUAGGAGAACGUAGGGUAGUCAAGCUUCCAAGACUCCAGACACAUCCAAAUGAGGCGCUGCACGUGGCAGUCUGCCUUCCUUU
rnacentral:snRNA from 1 species